CUUUCCCGUGGGGAGAGGCUUGCCCUAGUGUGGCACGUCCUCUCUGCCAUGCCGCUCCACAUCCUCUCGGCCAUUGCCCUGAAUGCCAGCACCCUUCGACGGGCCAACCGGGUGAUCCGUGACUUUCUCUGGCAUGGGCGAAAGGACGCGGCUACUGGCAGCUGUCCCGUGGACUAGCGGAAGGUGUGCAUGCCGACCCAUCUUGGCGGCCUUGGUGUGCGUGACCUGCAGAGAGUGGGCAUCGCCCUCAAAGUCUGAUGGCUCUGGCUUCAGUCUACAGACCCUUCCCGCCCUUGGGGCCAUCUCCAGUUGCAACACGACGCCGAGGUCCGGGCCAUCUUCCGCGCCUCGACUAGUUGGGUGCUCGGUGAUGGUCGUACCUGCCGCUUCUGGACCGACCAUUGGAUUCAAGGCCAAUGUGUCGCUGAGUUUGCACCCGCUGUCCUCGCCUUGGUCUCUAAGCGGAGACGCAGGUCCCGUUUGGUGGCGGACGGCUUGCUGCACCGCGCUUGGGUGCAGGACAUCCAAGGGGCUUUGGGGCCUCUUGCGACCCUCCAGUACAUCGAGCUUUGGCAUCGUGUU
rnacentral:rRNA from 1 species